GCCACGCAAGGCGAUCUUUGACUUCCAUCCAAAGCCAUACGAUGCUGUCUCAACAUUUUCGCGUUCACUGGAUCCAGUUGCUUGAUUGAUACAUUCUGCUACAUUUAGUUAUCAUUGCAAAAUCAUUCCACCAGGACAUCAAGCUCGGCAAUAUUCCUUGUGGAGAAGGAGGAGAGGAGGGGUGAAGAAUGUAUAACUAUAUAUAUAUAUCUUAUGAGGAAUAGGUGGCUACCCUCAGGACUGAUCCUUUUUGGCGUGGUGGUAAAGCCUCCCAUAGAAGACUGCAUUUUUUAAAGAAGGUCCGUUAAUUCCACCCAUGAUUGCCUCGCGGUAACAUGACACAAAAGCACAGCAUAAUAACCAUAAAGCUGUCAAAGAGAGAAAUGGGAAAUUUGAAACCCAUUUCAUGACAGCUCACAGAGACAAG
rnacentral:sRNA from 2 species